rnacentral:rRNA from 1 species
GACGAACGCUGGCGGCGUGCUUAACACAUGCAAGUCGAACGAAGUGGCGAACGUGUGAGUAACGCGUAAUCAACCUGCCCUUCCGAGGGGGACAACAGUUGGAAACGACUGCUAAUACCGCAUACUGAAGGCGGGGAUUGCGUCUGAUUAGCUAGUUGGAGGGGUAACGGCCCACCAAGGCGAUGAUCAGUAGCCGGGCUGAGAGGAGGAACGGCCACAUUGGGACUGAGACACGGCCCAGACUCUGACGGGAGGCAGCAGUGGGGAAUCGUCCGCAAUGGACGAAAGUCUGACGGAGCAACGCCGCGUGAGUGAUGACGGCCUUCGGGUGGUAAAGCUCUGUUAAUCGGGACGCGGUACCGGAAUAGAAAGCCACGGCUAACUACGUGCCAGCAGCAGCGGUAAUUC